GCACUGUCCUGGCUUGUCGCUGGCGUUUCUGAAAGGAGAGGCGAGAGGAAAGUCCGGGCGGCAUAGGGCGCUCCACUUCCGAAAAUAGAAGCAGUUGGUAACAGCUGAUUAGGGGAGAAGAGAAUGACCGCCUCGUUCGCGAGGUAAGGGUGAGAAGGUGGUGUAAGAGACUACCAGGCAGCGGGUGAUCGCUGUGCUGUUCCCAUUGGAGGCCGCAAGUUCAUGUAUACCAUCGCCAUGAUAGGGUAGCCCGCCCGAUUCUCUAGGGAUGCGAUGGAGGGUAGAACGCUAGAGACGCAUGGUGACGUGCGUAGUAGAUAAAUGACAGGCGCCAGUGACACACUGGUACAGAACCCGGCUUAUAGGGACAAUGCUUUC
rnacentral:RNase_P_RNA from 1 species